rnacentral:lncRNA from 1 species
UGCGCGAUCACCUGGCUCGAACCUGCAGGAAUUGGGAUCAGUCAAGGCUGAAAGCGAAACCUGAAGGUCGCGGCAGGGAACAAGCCAAAGGAAGGAAAGAGAGGGGGAGAGGAAGCUAACCCUUGGAGAAGUUGAGGGUGAAGGUGGGCUGGUCAGCUCCGAGGUAGUUGAUGUGGAAGAUGAGCUCCUCCGGGAGGUCCUCCUUGCUCCUCCAGACGGCCCACCCGAUGCCGGCGUAUACGAGCCCGUACUUGUGGCCGCUGACAUUGAUGCUCUUCACCAGAGGCAGCCGGAAGUCCCACUCCAGCUCAGG